rnacentral:rRNA from 1 species
UACAGAGGUCCCAAGCGUUGUUCGGAUUCACUGGGCGUAAAGGGUGCGUAGGUGGCGAGGUAAGUCGGAUGUGAAAGCUCGGAGCUCAACUCCGAAAUGGCAUUGGAAACUACCUUGCUCGAGGGUUGGAGGGGGGACUGGAAUUCUCGGUGUAGCAGUGAAAUGCGUAGAGAUGUGGAGGAACACCGAUGGCGAAGGCAGCCCCCUGGGCUGAGAUUGACGCUCAGGCACGAAAGCGUGGGGAGCAAACAGG